rnacentral:rRNA from 1 species
GGAGGGUGCAAGCGUUGUUCGGAAUUACUGGGCGUAAAGAGCGCGUAGGCGGCUUCUUAUGUCGGGUGUGAAAGCCCUGGGCCCAACCCAGGAAGUGCGCCCGAAACUGAGAAGCUUGAGUACGAGAGAGGAGGACGGAAUUCCUAGUGUAGAGGUGAAAUUCGUAGAUAUUAGGAAGAACACCGGUGGCGAAAGCGGUUCUCUGGAUCGAUACUGACGCUAAGGCGCGAAAGCGUGGGGAGCAAACAGGAUUAGAUACCCUGGUAGUCCACGCCGUAAACGAUGGAUAUUAGUUGUUGCGGGCUUAUAAACUCGCAGUGACGACGCUAACGCAUUAAAUAUCCCGCCUGGGGAUUACGGCCGCAAGGUUA